CCAAUAGCGUAUAUUAAAGUUGUUGCAGUUAAAAAGCUCGUAGUUGAAUUUCGGGAUCAAAGAAUCGGUCAUGCCUUGGUACGUACUGGUUUUAUUGGUUCUCACCUUCUAAAGAACCAUAAUGUCAUUUAUUUGAUGUUAUGGGGAAUUAGGACUGUUACCUUGAAAAAAUUAGAGUGUUUAAAGCAAGCUUACGCUUGAAUACAUUAGCAUGGAAUAAUGAAAUAGGACGUUCGAUCCUAUUUUGUUGGUUUCUAGGAUUGACGUAAUGAUUAAUAGG
rnacentral:rRNA from 1 species